rnacentral:lncRNA from 1 species
UUGCUUCCUAACUCUUUUGUGCGUACAUGUAUAUAUGAAGGAAUACAUUGCCUGUAUUUUAGGACAGAUAGCAAAUGUUCAAAGCAGUUUUAAAUGUAAUGAGCUCCCUCCAUCCUUCUGAGAUCUUCUUUCCUUUGUUUUAUUUAUUUAUUUAUUUAUUUAUUUAUUUAUUUAUUUAUUGAGAUUGAGCCUGGCAGCCUAACCCAGGCUGGUCUCAACCUGAUGCCCUCCUGUCUCAGCGUUCAUGUUCUGGGAUGACAGGCCCCUAUUACCAUGUCCACUGGUAUUGUUGUAUUGAUUAUAAUGUUUUGUACUGUUACUUAACAAAAAAAUCACUGGCUUGAAAUGCCACAAGCUUGUUGUUACAGUUUUGCAGAUCACACUUCUGAAAACGGCCCUCAAAAAUGUGAUCGUAGUCCUUUUGGAAGCUCUAGAAGGGAUUCACUCCUUGCUUUUCAGCCUUUAGCAGCUGCCUGCACUCCUUGCUUAGCUCAUAGCAUCCUUCAGUAAUGGCAUAGCUACAUUUUAUGUUUCCAUUCCUUUGAAGUUGAUAUUCCUUUUGUUUUGUUUUGUUUUGUUUUGUUUUGUUUUGUUUUGUUUUGUUUUGUUUUGUUUUGUUGAGACACAGGUUUGCUUUAUAGGCCAGGCUAGCUUACAACCUCUUAUGUAGUCCAGGCUGGCCUGCAAGUUGUUAAAUAGUCGAGGCUUGCAACUCUAAAUUCUCUUGCUUUAGCCUUCCAAAUACUAGGAUUAUAGGUGAAGGAAUUGAAAUACAGGAUUAUAUGUGCCCCAACAUCAUAAUUCUUGUCUCUGGAGUAUUUGGGCCCUGUGACCACAUGGGUACCUUGGGCCCAUCUAGAUGAUCCAGGGAGAGAAUCUUUUGAUUUAUCACAUCUUCUGUAUCCCGUCUCCGUGCCAAAUCAUACUCACAGCAGUUAGGGACUAGGUUGUGGCUUCUGUGGGGUGUUACUCUUUACUCUGCUUACUCCUGUGAUGAUGAUGAUGGUGGUGGUGAUGGUGGUGAUGGUGAUAGAAAUGAAGAUGAUGAAGAAGAAUCCCUAUUAGUAUUUUACAUGCCAAGUGCUUUUAAUAGUUUAUUUUUUAAAAUAUAAAUAGGGCUGGAGAGAUGGCUCAGCCGUUAAAGGCUAGGCUCACAACCAAAAAUAUAAAUAAAACCGAAUUCUUUUGUCUCAGAGCAUGUUAAGAAACAGUAGCAUCAAGCCGACCUUCCUUACCACAGUUGAAGUUGACUUCCUCAUCCAGCUGCCUGGAACCUUCUGGAAUGUUUACACUAAGCCCCCUUUGAUUCAGGCACUGAAAGGCUAGCAAAAUGCACAUGAUCAACUAUUAUAACUGGCCUGGCAGAAAUCAAGAUAUUCUCAAAGGACACUUAUGUCUCCCUGUGUGACUGUCAGAUGAUUGGAACAACGGACCCCAAGUAAAUGGCAGUGUCCCCCAGAAUAUUCUGCUCUGGGAGGGGAAAAGCACUAGUCAGAGGGGAACUCUCUAGGAAGGAGAUCUCACACAAUUCUUACAACUCCUCAGACCACUUUACAGGAUGAGGCUGAAGCCCCAACAAGGAUGGGUUCUUAGGGGCGGGGCCACACUGGAUUGAUCACAAGUGCAUAUCCCUGGCCUGCUGGUUAAACUUGAAUCUCACUUCAGAAGCCCAGCAUGAGGACAGAUGUGGGCGUUACUGGAUCUCUCCGGGCCUACCCCAUGCCCUGCAUUCAAUAAGUCUCUUUCACCUGCUUCUCACUACUGAGUUGGCUUUUCAGUGGCUUAGAUGGCUGGCUGAACCUGGCUUGGGUGAGCCUCACAUUCUGAGACAAUAUUAGUGGAGCACAAGUGCUUACUGUAAUACAAGAAGCUGAAGCUGUGUGAAGACAGGUGGGUUUUGAUUUGGCGAUAAGGAGGGAAGUUUAGCAGGAGUCAGUUUGCAUAUUUGAAAUAGCCAAUCACCUCUUUGGGUCCUGUGUAGUGGGUAUUGAUACCCAGAAGAUUCACAGCAAGUUUGACCUCCAUCCCAGAUCAUUCCUGAGUGUGCUGGUGCCCAUGAGCAUGCGUGCUCGCACACACACACAAAAGCAUGCCCAUGUACAUGCACCCACACACAUGUAUGCACCCAUACAUGCAUGAACACAUGGAAUUUUGAAAUCCUAAUACUGCCAAAUUCACAAACAAGUCUUAAUUCUUGGGGACAAUUAUGGACCAAAAUGAUCAUAUUCAGGAAAGUGGUGAUGAAAACCAGACAAGAGAAAUAGCAACAGAAUAAAAUGACCAUCUGCUCUUAAAGCCUAUUGGGAAAAAGUCCUCUUGCUUUAAUUUUUCUUCCAAUUUAUUACAAAUUGUAGGUCUGCUUAAUAGAAAAAAUGAGGACAGGUUGUUGCUUUCUUAGAAACACAAAUCAGACAGAUUAUCACCCUGCAGGAGGACAGUCAACUAAUUUUGAGAGACAGUAUAUCCACUUACUAGUUUUUCUUAGACACUCUCCAAUACUAAAUACUUUAGUGACUUUUAUUUUUCCACUUUCCCCUUCUGUAUUUCCAAGCAUUAGGUGUUUUGUCAGUUUAUGAUGAGCAUAAAUUAUAAACUGUCUUAUUUUAAGCAAAACACUACACAUUAAAGUAGUAUGUGUGUGUGUGUUCACACUUGGCCAGAGGAGGCUGUCUGGUGUGUCUGCUGCUGUCCCUUAUUUCCUUGAGUUGGAGUCUAUCACAGAAUCCGGAGCUUGCUGACUUUGCAGUUAUGUUACCUGGCUAACAAGUCCUGGAAGACCGUCCAUCUCUCCACCCUCUGCUGCCCACGCCAGGAGGUGCAGGUUCUGGCCCGCAGUCCUAGCGCUUACAUGUGUCCUGGGCAUCUAAUCUUAGGUUUCCACUUGCUUCUGUAGCUAGUGCUCUUACCCAUUGACCCAACUUCCUGGCCCAUGUAGAGCUUUUUAAAUGCAGGCUAGAAAACGACAUUAAAAUAUUGAUACCAAAAUAAGAGUCUCCAGGUCUCUGAUAAUACUUUAGCUUCUUCACCUUCCUCUUCAGCCCUGAGUUGCUCUGUAUUGUCUACUAGUCAGGGGAGUUUAUUCUUCUCUGCUUAGUGUGUGUAUGUCCUCUCCCCAACACCAGCAAAUGCCUGUUGUUGUUAACUGCUUGAUUGUUGUUGUUAAGUGCUGGUUUCCUAACGACUAUUUAACUUGCCUUCUCUUCUGCUCUCAUCACCCAGUGGUGAAACACAUUGACAUUUUCCACUAAAGCUCCAGCGUCAGAGUUAGUUUUAAAAUUUUCCUUCCUGUGCAUGUGUGUGCGUCUACAUGUAUGUGCGUGCACCCCUUGAAUAUACUGGUACCUGGGGAGGCCAGAAGGCAGCAUCAGAUCCCCUGGAACUGGAGUUACAGGGCAAUGCCCCUGCUGUGGGUGCUGGGAAGAGCAGCAAGUGCCCUUAACCCUUGGCCAUAUGUCCAGCCCUUCUAGUCUAGCUUAAAGUUGUCUGCUAUGUGUGAGAGGUGACUCAUAUCUGUAGAGAGUGUAACUGCAGUUGGAGAAGAGGCUCAGUUGGUAAAAUAUUCGUUUUGCAAGCAUGAGGUCCUAACGUAACCCCCAGCAUCCUUGCCUGGUCUGUUAGUUCUUGGUCAACUUGAUAUAAGUAGGAGUUAUCUAGGAAGAGAGCCUCAGUUGAGAAAUUGCCUCCAUCAAAUUGUGGACAGUCUGUGAGGUGUUUCCUUCACUGGUGAUCCAUGUGCAAGGGCCCAACCCAUUGCCAAUGGUGCCGCCCCUGGGUAGAUGGUCGUGCAUCAUAUAAGAAACCAUGCUGCGCAUGCUAUAAAGGGAGCCAGGAAGCAUUGUUUUUCUGUUUCUGCUUCCAUUUUUGCCUCCAGGUUACUGCCCUGUUUGAGUUCCUGCCUUGGCUUCCCUCAGUGAUAGACUGUGGUGACCAGGACAUAAACCACUCCUCUGCCCCGCAGGUAGCUUUUUGCUCAUAGUCUUUAACACAGCACUAGGAAGCAAACUAGGACAGGCCAAACAUCUGGACAGUAUUUGAGUACGCUUGUGAUCCUGCUGCUGGAGAGAUAGAGACAAGCCGGUUCUUGGCGGUGGAAGGAGGUGUCACUUGCUGGCCGGUCUAUUUGCAGGUUUCAGGACAAUGAGAGAACCCGGUUUUACUUUAUGGGGG